CACGCUUAACACAUGCAAGUCGAACGAGAGAAGAGAAGCUUGCUUUUCUGAUCUAGUGGCGGACGGGUGAGUAACACGUGAGCAAUCUGCCUUUCAGAGGGGGAUACCGAUUGGAAACGAUCGUUAAUACCGCAUAAUAUAAUUGAACCGCAUGAUUUGAUUAUCAAAGAUUUAUCGCUGAAAGAUGAGCUCGCGUCUGAUUAGCUAGUUGGUAAGGUAACGGCUUACCAAGGCGACGAUCAGUAGCCGGACUGAGAGGUUGAUCGGCCACAUUGGGACUGAGACACGGCCCAGACUCCUACGGGAGGCAGCAGUGGGGAAUAUUGCACAAUGGAGGAAACUCUGAUGCAGCGAUGCCGCGUGAGGGAAGAAGGUUUUAGGAUUGUAAACCUCUGUCUUCAGGGACGAAAAAAGACGGUACCUGAGGAGGAAGCUCCGGCUAACUACGUGCCAGCAGCCGCGGUAAUACGUAGGGAGCGAGCGUUGUCCGGAAUUACUGGGUGUAAAGGGAGCGUAGGCGGGAUCGCAAGUCAGAUGUGAAAACUAUGGGCUUAACCCAUAAACUGCAUUUGAAACUGUGGUUCUUGAGUGAAGUAGAGGUAAGCGGAAUUCCUAGUGUAGCGGUGAAAUGCGUAGAUAUUAGGAGGAACAUCAGUGGCGAAGGCGGCUUACUGGGCUUUAACUGACGCUGAGGCUCGAAAGCGUGGGGAGCAAACAGGAUUAGAUACCCUGGUAGUCCACGCCGUAAACGAUGAUUACUAGGUGUGGGGGGACUGACCCCUUCCGUGCCGCAGCAAACGCAAUAAGUAAUCCACCUGGGGAGUACGACCGCAAGGUUGAAACUCAAAGGAAUUGACGGAAGGGCGAA
rnacentral:rRNA from 1 species